CCCUUACUCAUCUGGUGGCUAGGAUACCUGGUUCUCAUUCAGGUUAUCCAGGUUCAAUUCCUGGGCAGAGAA
rnacentral:tRNA from 1 species